rnacentral:rRNA from 1 species
GACGGAGGGUGCAAGCGUUGCUCGGAAUUACUGGGCGUAAAGCGCGUGUAGGCUGCUCAGAAAGUCGGAUGUGAAAGCCCUGGGCUUAACCUAGGAAGUGCAUUCGAAACUUCUGAGCUUGAGUUCUGGAGAGGAAGGCGGAAUUCUCGGUGUAGAGGUGAAAUUCGUAGAUAUCGAGAGGAACACCGGUGGCGAAGGCGGCCUUCUGGACAGUGACUGACGCUGAGACGCGAAAGCGUGGGGAGCAAACAGG